ensembl:snRNA U6 U6 spliceosomal RNA
UGACCACUACAGAGAAAAUUUGCGUGGUCCCAGCACAAGGACGACAUGCAAGUUAGUGAAGUGUGCCAUAUUAAA